CAGCAGCCACGGGAAUACGAAGGGGGCUAGCGUUGCUCGGAAUGACUGGGCGUAAAGGGCGCGUAGGCGGAUUGUUUAGUUAGGCGUGAAAUUCCUGGGCUUAACCUGGGGACUGCGCUUAAUACAGGCAGUCUAGAGUGAGGAAGAGGGUUGUGGAAUUCCCAGUGUAGAGGUGAAAUGCGUAGAGAUGUGGAGGAACACCAGUGGCGAAGGCGACUCUCUGGUCUGUAACUGACGCUGAGGAGCGAAAGCGUGGGGAGCGAACAGGAUUAGAUACCCCUGUAGUCCCUGUCUCUUAUAC
rnacentral:rRNA from 1 species